rnacentral:misc_RNA from 1 species
GUGACACAAUCGGCGGAACAAGAGCGUCACGUAGGUCGAUCGCUGCGAUGAACCUCGUUAACCCUUUCCAGUUUUCGCGCUUCAAUCGGUCCAGUCGUUUUACUCGCUUUGCUGGGAUUGAUCGUUGCCAUUAGAGUUGUGAGAUUCGUGUAUGUUGUUUUGAGUAUAUAUCUUAGGAAGUUUGUACAUUUUUUGAAAGAUGAAGUAAAAUUUUGUAAAGAUGAGGAGUAGAUCGAUGUGACAGUGACGUAGUACGCCCCUCUUCUCCUCUCCAUUAUCGAUUCCAUACGAAUCGUCAGCCGGCAACAUGCUACACAGCCGAUUCGUAUUCAGACAGAACAUGCGGUUUCACUCACCAAGGUGUUCAGAUCCUUAUUGAGAUCCUCCAAGUUGGGCCCGGUGCAGUUACGAUUCUGCGCACGCGCGCUCGAUCCGCUGACCGAUGCGAGGAUCCUCUUACGAUGAGCUGGCUUCUGGAUCUCUAAGACGGUCGCCAAUUCGACCUCCCACACGCAUCUCACACGUUCCAUGUCCGUGUACAAGUUUUUCUUAAAAGUCUCUGCGUAAUUUUCCAGGUGAAUACUCUUCAACCAUUCGUCCACGGAUUGACUGUUCCCGCCGGAUCGUUUGUCUACGCGUUUUUUCAGUAAAUCGACCGCGUCCAUUAUCACGGCACGCUCUUGAUCGCUGGUGAUCUCCAUGUCCUUCAGGUCGGUCUCGUCCAAAACUCCGUUCUGUUAGAAAAAACAGAGUUUUCAAGGUUUUUAGAGCAA